AACGCAUAUUGCGCCCUCUGGUAUUCCGGAGGGCAUGCCUGUCCGAGCGUCAUUACUAUCUUCAAGCACGGCUUGUGUGUUGAGCAUUUGUUCUUUAAAUGGACAGGCUUGAAAUGCAGUGGCAAUGCUGCAUCUGGUGCCCGAGCGUUAUGGGGCUUUGUCACUCGCUUCGUUGGCUCCAAUCAGCAUUUUUAGCCAUAAAACCUCUUUUAUCAAACUGACCUCGGAUCAGGCAAGAAUACCCGCUGAACUUAA
rnacentral:misc_RNA from 1 species